CAGCGGCUGCUUCUGGUAGCCCGGCUCUUCACCUUAGGGCAGUACGCAGUGGUGGCUAACAGCAAGCCUCCUUGGUAGCAUGCGCAGUCUGUUGCUUGUGUGAGAUGCCUGAGGUGAUCUUGGAGACCGGC